GCUGCGCGGCUUACACAUGCAGUCGAGCGGGGAAGUAUAGCUUGCUAUACGACCUAGCGGCGGACGGGUGAGUAAUGCUUAGGAAUCUGCCUAUUAGUGGGGGACAACAUUCCGAAAGGAAUGCUAAUACCGCAUACGCCCUACGGGGGAAAGCAGGGGAUCUUCGGACCUUGCGCUAAUAGAUGAGCCUAAGUCAGAUUAGCUAGUUGGUGGGGUAAAGGCCUACCAAGGCGACGAUCUGUAGCGGGUCUGAGAGGAUGAUCCGCCACACUGGGACUGAGACACGGCCCAGACUCCUACGGGAGGCAGCAGUGGGGAAUAUUGGACAAUGGGCGAAAGCCUGAUCCAGCCAUGCCGCGUGUGUGAAGAAGGCCUUUUGGUUGUAAAGCACUUUAAGCGAGGAGGAGGCUACUUAGAUUAAUACUCUAGGAUAGUGGACGUUACUCGCAGAAUAAGCACCGGCUAACUCUGUGCCAGCAGCCGCGGUAAUACAGAGGGUGCGAGCGUUAAUCGGAUUUACUGGGCGUAAAGCGUGCGUAGGCGGCUUCUUAAGUCGGAUGUGAAAUCCCUGAGCUUAACUUAGGAAUUGCAUUCGAUACUGGGAAGCUAGAGUAUGGGAGAGGAUGGUAGAAUUCCAGGUGUAGCGGUGAAAUGCGUAGAGAUCUGGAGGAAUACCGAUGGCGAAGGCAGCCAUCUGGCCUAAUACUGACGCUGAGGUACG
rnacentral:rRNA from 1 species